ensembl:miRNA
AUUUUGGCCAACUCUGACCCCUUAGGUUGACAUCAGAAUGAGGUGUACCAACCUAGGUGGUCAGAGUUGGCCAAAAU